GAUGAACGCUAGCGGCAGGCUUAACACAUGCAAGUCGAGGGGUAGAGGAAGCUUGCUUCCUUGAGACCGGCGCACGGGUGCGUAACGCGUAUACAAUCUACCUUUUACAGAGGGAUAGCCCAGAGAAAUUUGGAUUAAUACCUCAUAGUAUCUUCUGAAGGCAUCUUCAGAUUAUUAAAGUUCCAACGGUAAAAGAUGAGUAUGGCGUCCCAUUAGCUAGAUGGUAAGGUAACGGCUUACCAUGGCAAUGAUGGGUAGGGGUCCUGAGAGGGAGAUCCCCCACAAUGGUACGGAGACACGGACCAGACUCCUACGGGAGGCAGCAGUGAGGAAUAUUGGACAAUGGGCGCAAGCCUGAGCCAGCCAUGCCGCGUGCAGGAAGACGGUCCUAUGGAUUGUAAACUGCUUUUAUACAGGAAGAAACACUCCCUCGUGAGGGAACUUGACGGUACUGUAUGAAUAAGCAUCGGCUAACUCCGUGCCAGCAGCCGCCGUAACAC
rnacentral:rRNA from 1 species